UACGUAGGGCGCAAGCGUUGUCCGGAUUUAUUGGGCGUAAAGAGCUCGUAGGCGGCUUGUCACGUCGGGUGUGAAAGCCCGGGGCUUAACCCCGGGUCUGCAUUCGAUACGGGCUAGCUAGAGUGUGGUAGGGGAGAUCGGAAUUCCUGGUGUAGCGGUGAAAUGCGCAGAUAUCAGGAGGAACACCGGUGGCGAAGGCGGAUCUCUGGGCCAUUACUGACGCUGAGGAGCGAAAGCGUGGGGAGCGAACAGG
rnacentral:rRNA from 1 species